AUUAGAUCGCGGCCACUCAGGCUUCCCUAAUGUGAUUGGUACCAUAGACUGCACACACAUUGCGAUCAAGGCCCCCCCAGGCCCCAAUGAAGGGGAUUUUGUCAAUCGAAAGUGGGUUCACAGUAUAAAUGUGCAGGGGCCUACGAUGGGAUUCUCCUUGGAGACAGGGGUUAUGCAUGCAGGCAGUACUUCAUGACACCGUUCCCUGACCCCAACCCUGGGCCACGAACCCGCUACAAUGCAGCUCUAGCCAGGACAAGGGCACGCAUUGAAAUGACCUUUGAGCAAAUAAAGGGAAGAUUUCAGUGUCUGAAAAGUCUAAGGGUUGCACCUGACAGGGCAUGUGACAUUAUUGUUGCAUGUGCCGUACUGCACAACAUUGCCACCAUCAGAAAGGAGAGGACUCCUGUGGUGGAGGUGCAGCCUGAUGAUGACCUCCAGCCAGUGCACUUGGACCAACCUAGUGGCAGAGCUGCAUGGGACAGAA